rnacentral:lncRNA from 1 species
UUCAGGCAAGCUUAUGACCCGCACUUACUGGAAAUUCCUCCUUCAUGGGGAAUAAUUGCAAUCCCCCAUCCCCAUCACGAAUGAGGUUCAACAGGUUACCCGCCUCUGCCACGUAGGGUAGGCACACGCUGAGCCAGUCAGUGUAGCGCGCGUGCAGUCCCGGACAUCUAAGGGCAUCACAGCGCUCGGGGGUCACGUAACUAGUUAGCAUGCCAGAGUCUCGUUGGUUAUUGGAAUUAACCAGACAAAUCACUCCACCAAGAUUUUUCCCAUGUUGAGUCAAAUUAAGCCGCAGGCUCCACUCCUGGUGGUGCCCUUCCACCAAUUCCUUUAAGUUUCAGCUUUGCAACCGUACUCCCCCCGGAACCUAAAACGUUGCCAGUCGGCAUCGUUUAUGGUCAGAACUACCACGGUAUCUGAUCGUCUUCGAACCUCCGACUUUCAUUCUUGAUUAAUGAAAACAUUCUUGGCAAAUGCUUUCACUCUGGUCCAAACUGCGCCGGUCCAAGAAUUUCACCUCUAGCGGUGCAAUACAAAUGCCCCCAGCUGUCCCUCUUAAUCAUGGCCUCAGUUCCAUAAACCAACAAAAUAGAACCGCGGUCCUAUUCCAUUAUUCCUAGCUGCGGUAUCCAGGCGGCUUGGACCUGCUUUGAACACUCUAAUUUUUUCAAAGUAAACGCUUUGGGCCGCGGAACACUCAGCUAAGAGCAUCGAGGGGGCGCCAAGAGGCAAGGGGCGGGGACGGGCAGUGGCUCGCCUCAUGGCGGACUGCCCGCCCGCUCCCAAGAUCCAACUAGGAGCUUUUUAACUGCAGCAACUUUAAUAUACGCUAUUGGAGCUGGAAUUACCGCGGCUGCUGGCACUAAACUUGCCCUCCAAUGGAUCUUCGUUAAAGGAUUUAAAGUGGACUCAUUCCAAUUACAGGACCUCGAAAGAGUCCUGUAUUGUUAUUUUUCCAAGUAGGAGAGGAGCGAGCGACCAAAAGAACCAUAACUGAUUUAAUGAGCCAUUCGCAGUUUCACUGUACCGGCCCUGCCUACUUAGACAUGUAUGGCAUAAUCUUUGAGACAAGCAUAUGGUACUGGUAGGAUCAACCA